rnacentral:rRNA from 1 species
AGAACGAACGCUGGCGGCAGGCCUCAAACAUGCAAGUCUAGGGGGCGUAGCAAUACGUCACCGGCGGACGGGUGCGUAACACGUGGGAAUGUACUUAUUGGUUCGGAACAACUCAGGGAAACUUGAGCUAAUACCGAAUGUGCCCGAAAGGGGAAAGAUUUAUCGCCAAUAAAUCAGCCCGCGUCCGAUUAGCUAGUUGGUGGGGUAAAGGCCCACCAAGGCGACGAUCGGUAGCUGUUCUGAGAGGAAGAUCAGCCACACUGGGACUGAGACACGGCCCAGACUCCUACGGGAGGCAGCAGUUGGGAAUCUUGGACAAUGGGGGAAACCCUGAUCCAGCCAUCGCCGCGUGAGUGAUGAAGGCUUCGGGUUGUAAACUCUUCGACGGGACGAUAAUGACGGUACCGUAGAAGAAGCUCCGGCUAACUCGUGCCAGCAGCCGC